rnacentral:snRNA from 1 species
GUGCUCAAUUCAGCCACACAUACACCAAAAAUGGAACUAAUAAUACAAAGGUUACCCUGACUCCUGCCUAAGGAUGACAUUUGGGAAGCACUUUGUAUAUUU